AAUUGGGGUGGCAAGGCUGUUGCUGGCUUGAAUGAGCAUGUGCACGUCUUUUGUUGCUUAUUUCAUUCAUCUUUCCUCCUGUGCACGUUUUGUAGACACUUGGGAAUGAGAGGUUGGUUGUAAUAUAAUGAUUGACCUCUGGGUGUCUAUGGCAUUUUUAUAAACACGACUGGAUGUGUAUAGAAUGAGAUUGUAGGUUUUUAAUAAAAAGCCAUUAAAUGAUAAAGUACAACUUUCAACAACGGAUCUCUUGGCUCUCGCAUCGAUGAAGAACGCAGCGAAAUGCGAUAAGUAAUGUGAAUUGCUGAAUUCAGUGAAUCAUCGAAUCUUUGAAUGCAUCUUGCGCUCCUUGGUAUUCCUAGGAGCAUGCCUGUUUGAGUGUCAUUCAAGCAUCUCAUAAGGUCCUUAUGCAGCAUGCUGGGAACUUUUGGACGUUGGUAGUGGCUGGUGACUGAUAAAGUGGCUGGCUCUUCUGAAAAGCAUUAGUUGAGGAGAUUUUUGUGCUCUAUUGGUGUGAUAGACUAUCUAUGCCAGGAGAAGCAUUGUGAGGCCUCUGCUGUCUAACACUCGUAAUUGUACAAUAUGAUAAACUUGACCACCAAUCAUGUAGGACUACCCCCUGAACAUCUUCAUAUUAAUAAUCGGAGGAAGAAU
rnacentral:misc_RNA from 1 species